AUUGAACGAUGGCGGCAGGCUUAACACAUGCAAGUCGAGCGAGCGGCGGACGGGGGAGUAAUGUCUGGGAAACUGCAUGAUGGAGGGGGAUAACUACUGGAAACGGUAGCUAAUACAGCAUACCAUCAGAUGUGCCCAGAUGGGAUUAGCUAGUAGGUGGGGUAAUGGCUCACCUAGGCGACGAUCCCUAGCUGGUCUGAGAGGAUGACCAGCCACCCGUGCACUGACACACGGUCCAGACUCCUACGGGAGGCAGCAGUGGGGAAUAUUGCACAAUGGGGGCAAGCCUGAUGCAGCCAUGCCGCGGGUGUGAAGAAGGCCUUCGGGUUGUAAAGCACUUUCAGCGAGGAUGCGUUACUCGCAGAAGAAGCACCGGCUAACUCCGUGCCAGCAGCCGCGGUAAUAC
rnacentral:rRNA from 1 species